UACAGAGGUGGCAAGCGUUGUUCGGAAUUACUGGGCGUAAAGGGCGCGUAGGCGGCCUACUAAGUCAGACGUGAAAUCCCCCGGCUUAACCUGGGAACUGCGUCUGAUACUGGAAGGCUUGAGGAUGGGAGAGGGAUGUAGAAUUCCAGGUGUAGCGGUGAAAUGCGUAGAUAUCUGGAGGAAUACCUGUGGCGAAGGCGGCAUCCUGGACCAUUACUGACGCUGAGGCGCGAAAGCUAGGGGAGCAAACGGG
rnacentral:rRNA from 1 species